rnacentral:misc_RNA from 1 species
GAUGAAGAACGUAGCGAAAUGCGAUAAGUAAUGUGAAUUGCAGAAUUCAGUGAAUCAUCGAAUCUUUGAACGCACAUUGCGCCCGCUAGUAUUCUGGCGGGCAUGCCUGUCCGAGCGUCAUUUCAACCCUCAAGCCCCCGGGCUUGGUGUUGGGGAUCGGCGAGCCUCCGCGCCCGCCGUCCCCUAAAUCUAGUGGCGGUCUCGCUGUAGCUUCCUCUGCGUAGUAGCACACCUCGCACUGGGAAACAGCGCGGCCACGCCGUUAAACCCCCAACUUCUGAACGUUUGACCUCGGAUCAGGUAGGAAUACCCGCUGAACUUAAGCAUAUCAAUAAGCGGAGGA